rnacentral:rRNA from 1 species
AGUGAACGCUGGCGGUAGGCCUAACACAUGCAAGUCGAACGGCAGCACAGUAAGAGCUUGCUCUUACGGGUGGCGAGUGGCGGACGGGUGAGGAAUACAUCGGAAUCUACUUUUUCGUGGGGGAUAACGGAGGGAAACUUACGCUAAUACCGCAUACGAUCUACGGGUGAAUGCAGGAGUUCUUCGCACCUUGCGCGUUUGAAUGAGCCGAUGUCGGAUUAGCUAGUUGGCGGGGUAAAGGCCCACCAAGGCGACGAUCCGUAGCUGGCCUGAGAGGACGAUCAGCCACACUGGAACUGAGACACGGUCCAGACUCCUACGGGAGGCAGCAGUGGGGAAUAUUGCGCAAUGGGCGCAAGCCUGAUCCAGCCACACCGCGUGGGUGAAGAAGGUCUUCGGGUUGUAAAGCCCUUUUGUUGGGGAAGAAAAGCUGCGGAUGAAUACCCCGCUGUUCUGACGGUACCCAAAGAAUAAGCACCGGCUAACUUCGUG